UACAGAGGGGGCAAGCGUUGUUCGGAAUUACUGGGCGUAAAGGGCGCGUAGGCGGCCUUCUAAGUCGAACGUGAAAUCCCCGGGCUCAACCCGGGAACUGCGUCCGAUACUGGCAGGCUUGAAUCCGGGAGAGGGAUGCGGAAUUCCAGGUGUAGCGGUGAAAUGCGCAGAUAUCAGGAAGAACACCAAUGGCGAAAGCAGCUCUCUGGGACGGUACUGACGCUGAGACGCGAAAGCGUGGGGAGCGAACAGG
rnacentral:rRNA from 1 species